rnacentral:rRNA from 1 species
AGCGAACGCUGGCGGCAGGCCUAACACAUGCAAGUCGAACGGAUCCUUCGGGAUUAGUGGCAGACGGGUGAGUAACGCGUGGGAACGUGCCCUUUGGUUCGGAACAACACAGGGAAACUUGUGCUAAUACCGGAUGUGCCCUUCGGGGGAAGGAUUUAUCGCCAUUGGAGCGGCCCGCGUUGGAUUAGGUAGUUGGUGAGGUAAAGGCUCACCAAGCCUACGAUCCAUAGCUGGUCUGAGAGGAUGAUCAGCCACACUGGGACUGAGACACGGCCCAGACUCCUACGGGAGGCAGCAGUGGGGAAUCUUGCGCAAUGGGCGAAAGCCUGACGCAGCCAUGCCGCGUGAAUGAUGAAGGUCUUAGGAUUGUAAAA